AACGAACGCCGGCGGCAUGCCUAACACAUGCAAGUCGAACGCGUGGAGCGGUCCACGAGUGGCGCACGGGUGAGUAACGCGUGGGAACCUGCCCUGGAGUGUGGGAUAACCCGGCGAAAGCCGGGCUAAUACCGCAUACGACCUGAGGGUGAAAGAUUUAUCGCUCUAGGAGGGGCCCGGGUCGGAUUAGCUAGUUGGUGAGGUAAUGGCUCACCAAGGCGAUGAUCCGUAGCUGGUCUGAGAGGAUGAUCAGCCACACCGGGACUGAGACACGGCCCAGACUCCUACGGGAGGCAGCAGGGGGAAUAUUGGACAAUGGGGGCAACCCUGAUCCAGCAAUGCCGCGUGGGCGAUGAAGGCCUUCGGGUUGUAAAGCCCUUUUGCACGCGACGAUGAUGACGGUAGCGUGAGAAGAAGCCCCGGCUAACUUCGUGCCAGCAGCCGCGGUAA
rnacentral:rRNA from 1 species